CAAAGGUAGUUAUUAUGAAAGGAUGCAACAGAUUAUGCAGAUUGAGAAAGAUAUACAUGUUGAGUUCUUGAGACAGUAUAAUAGAGAACAAGGUACUUGAAGUCGCCGUGUAGAUUCUGUUUCGGACCGAGAAAGCAAAUACUUCAGUUUCGGAGCUUCUAGAAGAUUUACAGGGUAGAAGUGGCUCUUCUGUCAAGACACCAUCUUCGUUGUGUGUCCUCUCAUGUUGUUUCAUUAUUUGGAGUUCUUAUACAACAAAUUACCUCGCCUCUGAAUAUUUAAAAGCAGCUGCACAUAAAAUAAACACAUACCGAGCUUGUGUA